rnacentral:tRNA from 1 species
UCAAGAUGUAGCUUAACCAACCAAAGCACCCGGCCUACACCCGGAAGAUUUCUCAUCAUUAGAACAUCUUGA